UCCUCGUUGACCGAGGCAGUCUGUAGUGAAAUUGCAACACUACACAGGGGUUGCGCUCGUUACCCCACUUAAGGGUACACCUCACGGCACGAGCUGACGACAACCAUGCAGCACCUGUCAUAGGAUCCGAUUUAACGGUCCAUCCCGCUUUCACAGGAUAUACUCCUACAAUUUCAAGCCCUGGUAAGGUUCUUCGUUUACCGUCGAAUUAAACCACAUGUUCCACCGCUUGUGCGGGUCCCCGUCUAUUCCUUUGAGUUUUAGUCUUGCGACCGUACUUCCCAGGCGGUGUGCUUAACGCGUUAGCUUUUUUUGACGACACUGAAAGGGUCGAUACUUUCAAUAUCCAGCACACAUCGUUUAGGGCGUGGACUA
rnacentral:misc_RNA from 1 species